AGCUAAAUCCCCAGCCAAAUAACACCUUUUUGUAUGUUGCUUAUGGGUUAUUUUUCUGUUCCAAUGUGUAAAGAAUACUUUGAAGUUAACUAAAGAUAGUUGCUUUGAUAGAGUAUUAUUAAAGUGGAUGUUUACUCUUCAGGUUCCUGGGCUAAGUAAAUCUAGUUCUGUGGACUGUCUUUCUGCCACCAAGAUCAAAGCUCUGGUUCCUGCCAGAGUCAGUGGGCUGAGCAGGAAGCCAGCAAGCAUCCAGAGGAGAAAUCAUCGCAAUGCCGAGAACAAGCCAGGUUUACAGAUAAAAAUCAAUGAGCUCUGGAAAAAUUUUGGUUUUAAAAAAGAUUCUGAAAAGCUUGUUUCUUAUAAAAAGCCCCUGUCUCCAGUGAAAGAUAACAUCCAGCUAACUCCGGAAGCAGAAGAGGAUAUAUUUAACAAACCUGAAUGUGCCCAUGUUCAGAGAGCAAUAUUCCAAUAAACACGGACUGCUGGGAGGCUGCUGUCCUCUGGAAGAUUAUAUCAAUUGGAACUCCUUGUUUGGAAGUGAGGCGAUUACCAGCCUGAAAGAUUUGUUCUUAGACAACAUUUUAAAACUAGAAUGUAUUUUGUAUGACGUUAACUGCAUAAUUGUUUCACUCAGCUUUUUAUAUUUUCAUAAAAAGCUAAAGAGAAUAAUUUUGUCUUUGAUGGUUUUUUUGGAAGUUUUAGUGUUUAAUUGGGCAAAUCCUCUGGAGUUGAUGAAAAUCUAAAGAUCUGUGUGAUGUCUAGUAUAAGAUGGUAAAUGGAAAGCCACAAUUCUAUAGUCUUUAUGCUAGAAGAAAUCACUGUUUCUCCAGGCUUUAGAUUUUUCCUGCUGCUUUCCCUGUCCAUCAUCUCUGUGGACUUGAAAAUAGAGUUGCUGUGAUGGGAGGGACGGUUGAAAGGUUAAAGAUCAUUACCCAAAUGCAGCUGUGUUCCAUUAUUCCCGAAGAGUUUGGCUGGUCAUAGGUUGACAGCAAAGGACAGUUGUUUUCGGCCUCAUGUAAAGGAACUAUUUCUCUUUUUUUUGGGUACCGGGGAUCGAACUCAGGACCUUGCGCUUGCGAGGCAGGCAGCAGAACCACUGAGCUAAAUCCCCGGUCCAGGAACUAUUUCUUGUGUCAUUAAUAUUCUUCAAACUUCAGAACAGCCUCAGGUUUUCUUCAUGUAUUUUGAGUGUGGACUGAAAAUUCCUUAACAUCUAUUUGAAACUAGUACCCUCCACACUAUAAAACCCUAACACUAUAGGGUCCAUGACAGGCAUACUCUACAAAAAUUGACAGAUGCCUGGAAAGAGAAUGGCCUACACAUGAAGAUCUGGAAUGACAAGAAAGCAAUAAAGGAAUUUGUAAUAAACAGGAUAAAAGAAAAGGACCAGAGCAUAUUAACUUUUCAAUUAAGAAAGAGACUCAAUCUGGAAAAGGCCUAGUCCAAAGAACAAAAGCAGAUUUGGAUUCCCUGUAAAUGUUUGCUACUAUAGGCAAAUUUAGCUCAGUGGUGCCUGCCUCGCAAGCGCAAGGUUCUCAGCUCAGUCCCCAGUACCCAGGAAAAAGUGAAUCAGACAUUGUGCACACAUAUUUGUCUCCUCGCUUAUUUAAAAUGCCACUUAAAUGUAAGGAAAUGAACAAAAUGCCAUAAAUCCACAAGGGUUAACAGAAUGGACAGGGAGAUGGGACAAGGAAACCAAUGGAUGAGGAGUAAAUGAUCUCUCAAAGCACUUUUUAAAAUGGUUUUUCUAGCAGCAGAAGCCAACAAGAAAAAUUCUGAAUGGGCUCAGUAAAUGGAGACAUUCAAGUUCCUCUGCCUACUAGAGGACCCAGACUCAAAGGAGCAAGUUGAGGAAUUUGAAGUUGGCAGGGCCUUUGCCAGUUCCAGUGGGUGAGGGCAACAGGCCUGCCUGAAGGCUGAAGAACUUACAGACCCCAGUGUCAUAUGGUUUAGUACUGCAUGAGGAAAGGCCUGGAGACUGAGUUCAGGAUAAAUUUCUAAAUUCAGGGUAUAAAAUGUCUAUAUCCACCAGGGCAUAUAUUUUUAUACCAUAUUUGGAAAGUUUACUUGGCAUAUAUUACUGAAACUUUCAACAACCGCAAAAUGAUGCAAGUUGUCAAUUGUCAUGCAUUCAGACCAUGUAUAAAUUGCUUGACAAUGCCACAUCUGUCACUUCUCCAUAAAUCCUUUAGAUGCUGAUAAUUAGAAUGAUAAAGUUGUGCUAUGAAGGCUUUUAGUUCAGAUAGUGAGAUGUCAUAAUAAAUAUAUUUUUAUUUGCAUUACUGUUUUCUUCAUCUGAACCAAGGUCUUCAUUCUGUACUUCUCUGUCAUAUCUUGCUAAUUGCUUUGGCUUAUAUGAUCCAAGUCAUCAUCAGUAGCUGAAUCACUUGACUCAUUUUCAAUCUCCUCCCAAAGUUGUAAAAGUGAAUUUUCAUGUGACAUAGAAUUGAGCUAAUUCUAUAAGAAAAAAAGAAAAAACAUGUAAUAAAAAAU
rnacentral:lncRNA from 1 species